rnacentral:rRNA from 1 species
GACGAACCGUGCGAACGUUGUUCGGAAUCACUGGGCUUAAAGGGCGCGUAGGCGGCCUGCCAAGUCAGGGGUGAAAGCCCCCAGCUCAACUGGGGAAGUGCCUUUGAUACUGGCGGGCUCGAGCGAGGCAGGGGUCGUGGGAACUUCCGGUGGAGCGGUGAAAUGCGUAGAUAUCUGGAGGAACACCGGUGGCGAAGGCGGCAUCCUGGACCAACACUGACGCUGAGUGAGCGAAAGCCAGGGGAGCAAACGGG